UACGUAGGGUGCGAGCGUUAAUCGGAAUUACUGGGCGUAAAGGGCGCGUAGGCGGCGCAACAAGUCACUUGUGAAAUCUUCAGGCUUAACCUGAAGCGGCCAAGUGAUACUGUCGUGCUAGAGUGCGGAAGGGGCAACUGGAAUUCUUGGUGUAGCGGUGAAAUGCGUAGAUAUCAAGAGGAACACCUGCGGCGAAGGCGGGUUGCUGGGCCGACACUGACGCUGAGGCGCGAAAGCUAGGGGAGCGAACGGG
rnacentral:rRNA from 1 species